rnacentral:rRNA from 1 species
GACGAACGCUGGCGGCGUGCUUAACACAUGCAAGUCGAACGGAAAGGCCCUGCUUGCAGGGUGCUCGAGUGGCGAACGGGUGAGUAACACGUGGGUGAUCUGCCCCUUACUUUGGGAUAAGCCUGGGAAACUGGGUCUAAUACUGGAUAGGACCAUGCAGCAGGUGGUGUGGUGGAAAGAUUAGUUUCGGUAAGGGAUGAGCUCGCGGCCUAUCAGCUUGUUGGUGGGGUAAUGGCCUACCAAGGCGUCGACGGGUAGCCGGCCUGAGAGGGUGGACGGCCACAUUGGGACUGAGAUGCGGCCCAGACUCCUGCGGGAGGCAGCAGUGGGGAAUAGUGCACAAUGGGCGCAAGCCUUAUGCAGCGACGCCGCGUGGGGGAUGACGGCCUUCGGGUUGUAAACUCCUUUCAGCCAUGACGAAGCCCUUGUGGUGACGGUAGUGGUAGAAGAAGCACCGGCUAACUACGUG